UCAGUGAGUGAGUAUAAUCGCGACAACGCUCUUUUAUUUAUUUUUUUGAGUCAAAGUAUUCAUGUCAUCGACCUAACUGCCGACACACCGACCCACUUUCCAAACUAGUUCAUUGUUUAUUGUAACAACGGACUGACGAACAAUUUGGGCUGUGCGACAAUGAAAAUGAACGUGAAUAUAUGGUAAAAUGGCACGGGAUGAGAUGAAUUUUGGACAUUUAACCUGGAAUAUCUUCUAACCGUUUGCAACACCCGCGCGAAAAUGAAUUCCCUAGAAAUCUUCAGAUUUAACCGUUAAAUAAAUCUCAUGUGUAUAUGAAGCCGCAAUGGCCGUAAUUACCAUCGCUAUCUCGUAUUUAAAUUAAUGAAUUUUCACGGCUCUUCUUUAUUGAGGUUAAGGAAAAUUAUAUAGGUUAGAAAAGAAAAAAAAAAAUACAAAAUGGCGAUUUAUUUCUAAAUUCAAGCUAUGGAGAGCUAAAUUAGGGAGGACCGUCUUAGUGUAUAAAAAAGUUUCCGCAGAAAGAGGACCAAUUAAGAUGGCGUCACGGUAGUAAGUGGAAGGGUUUGAAAAACAGCGUCAUUAGCUAUUAGAGUAGGAUACUAAAUUAAGAAUGAAAGAAACGCUUCCUACGUAAAUAGUAAUAAAAAUAAAUAGUUGAUAUUUUAAAUA